rfam:Capsicum annuum cultivar Zunla-1 chromosome 6, whole genome shotgun sequence
UGAUGGUGGUGAGGGUAAUUUCUGAGCAUACCUUUAAAUCUCUCCCAAGCUUGGUAGAGAUUCUCUCUUUUCUUUCUAAAACUUAGAAUAUCACUUCUCAAACG